rnacentral:rRNA from 1 species
CUUUACUGUAGCUUUACAUUGGACUUUGAACAGAUCUGUGUAGGAUAGGUGGGAGGCUUUGAAGCGGUGCCGCUAGGUGUCGUGGAGCCAACGUUGAAAUACCACCCUGGUGUGUUUGAGGUUCUAACCUUGGCCCGUAAUCCGGGUUGGGGACAGUGUAUGGUAGGCAGUUUGACUGGGGCGGUCUCCUCCCAAAGCGUAACGGAGGAGUUCGAAGGUACGCUAGGCACGGUCGGAAAUCGUGCUUAUAGUGCAUAGGCAUAAGCGUGCUUGACUGCGAGACCGACAAGUCGAGCAGGUACGAAAGUAGGACUAAGUGAUCCGGUGGUUCUGUAUGGAAGGGCCAUCGCUCAACGGAUAAAAGGUA